rnacentral:rRNA from 1 species
AACUAACGCUGGCGGCAUGCCUAACACAUGCAAGUCGAACGAAGCCUUCGGGCUUAGUGGCGCACGGGUGCGUAACGCGUGGGAAUCUGCCCCUUGCUUCGGAAUAACAGUUAGAAAUGACUGCUAAUACCGGAUGAAGUCUUCGGACCAAAGAUUUAUCGGCAAGGGAUGAGCCCGCGUAGGAUUAGGUAGUUGGUGGGGUAAAGGCCUACCAAGCCGACGAUCCUUAGCUGGUCUGAGAGGAUGAUCAGCCACACUGGGACUGAGACACGGCCCAGACUCCUACGGGAGGCAGCAGUGGGGAAUAUUGGACAAUGGACGCAAGUCUGAUCCAGCAAUGCCGCGUGAGUGAUGAAGGCCUUAGGGUUGUAAAGCUCUUUUACCAGGGAUGAUAAUGACAGUACCUGGAGAAUAAGCUCCGGCUAACUCCGUG